CCUCGACUGCCUUCCACAUCUCAAAAACAUUUAAAAAGUUUAAAAGCCCUUCUUCAAAAGUGGCUGUAAGACGUGUAAGACAGUCGAGUAGAAUUUACAUUGGAGAUUGUUUUAAACGAUGGAGAGAUUUUCGUGAUCAACACGGCCUGAAAACGGAUGAAGAGUUGGCAAAGUAUCUUUUGGACAGGACAUGUGGAUCGGUCUACUCCAUCAUGUGACUGGAGAACAUGAGUGGUCUCUGGAUGCUUGUCAGCAUGAUCCUUUUGUGACAGAGAGAGAGACUGGAUUCAGAAAGGCUCCACUCCACACAAAGCCCUCAGUGACAUCAUUCUCAGUGAACGCUGGCUGAAAGAAGUCCCAAAAUAUUUGAAAUUCAGAUCUACAGCAAAUUUGGAGGCGUUUCACAACCAUCUCCUAAUGUAUGCAAGCAAAAGAUUCAGUUACAUCCCACCUGUUUACGAGGCACGGAUACUGCUU